rnacentral:lncRNA from 1 species
GCUGGCAGGAGGAGGAAGGAUGGCUGCUGAUCUGCAGGUGCUGCUGUGUUCGGGCCGCCGCUGGAGACUGUUGGGUCUGCGGGCGCUGCCGGAGGGAGGAGGCGGGCAGGAGGCCGGUUGCAGAAGAUGAAGAAGAGUGUUGCCCCGGCGCUGCCGUGUGUGAGCUGCUGGCUCACUGGUGAGGACAGCGCUGCUGCUGCUGGCGGCGAAAACCGGCCGAGAGAAAUGUACUGGCCGGCUGCUGUGGGGAGGUGCAGACACCGGUCCCUGUCUGUGUUGCCAGAGAAGGAAGGUCUGGUGCUGGAAGGGAACAGCUGGGAUGGAGAUGAGGAGGUUGAUUUGUGAGGGUGGGAAAGAUCGGCUAUGGCUGGUUGAAGGAGAAGAGAAAAAAAAUGAAAAAGGGGGGGUGUGGGGCUGGCGGCUGAACGAGGGAGGAAAAAGGAAAAAAAAUGAAAAAGGGGGGGUGUGGGGCUGGCGGCUGAACGAGGGAGGAGAAAAGGAAAAAAAAUGAAAGGGGGGGGUGUGGGGCUGGCGGCUGAACGAGGGAGGAGAAAAAAAAAUCAGAAAAAGGGGGUGUGGGGCUGGCGGCUGAAUGAUUGAGAAGAAAAAAAAAAUAAUUCAAAAGGGGGAUCUCUGGGGCUGGCGGCCGGUUGAGGGAGAAGAGAAAAAGAAUCAAAAGGGGGGAGGGGGGGGAGGUGGGGCUGGCCGGUCGGUUGAGAUCAAUAUAUAUUUUUAACACACAAACUCGAAUUGUAAAAUCAUAAAAUCAUAAAGAAAUUUUUUAAAUGAAAAACAGUGCAAAAAACAUCGAGAGUUUUUUUAAAAGAAAAAAACAUAUUCUUUCAAGAAAACAUAUAUCAUCAAGAUAAUAAAAAGCAAUUAACUAAAAGCAACUCUACAAUAAUGAGUCAAACCAGUGAAUCCUUAUAUUUAUUAGUUAAUUAUCAUAAGAUCUCUCAUAUUUAUUCAUGUCUUUUUUAUCAUGAUCAAUUAUUUAUUGACAGUGCUUUGAAACAACUUGGAGUAUGGAUAGUGCUUUGAAAUCUACAAGCUGGGGUGGGUGUGAUAGGGUGUUUUGUGUUGGUGUUGAAAAAAAAAAAAGCAAACCAACCAACAUCUGCAAAUUAUAAUUGUACCAUUGAUGAGGACGAUUAUGAGAUUGGAGAAUUAUUUCAGUGUAGUCUAAAAUUCAAUUAACUUUUGACAAUGCUUUUUAAUCUAUUGUCUGUUAAGCUAAAUAUAAAUAUAUUUAGAUGUAAUAAAACAUAAUAUAUAUAAAACACUAAUAAAAUUGAAGGAAGACCAUUUACAGACCAUGUCUUCAAUUGAUUUUAUUAUGCAGGCAUGCAUCAUCUCAUUAGCAACUAUCAUUGAUGCUGAUGAUAGUAGAGGUUUUUUAAUUUCUGCAUUCCAAUUAACUUAUGUUUUACCUUUCCUUUUAUUUUUACGGCUUUUUCAAAUCUUUGUCUGAUUCACUACUUCACCCUGUAGAAACUUUUUACAUAGAACUAGCAACAUCAACAGUUCUUUUCCCAACCUCAAUACUUCGUCCUUGAUUAAAUUUAUAAAAUAAAUUUGUUUUGUGCUUGCAGUUUUGUUAGCGGUAUCUAGGCUACAAGUCACUAACAAUAAACUGACUAAGUAAUCCAUGAAUACAUUAGGUGAUUGUCAAUUCAUUAUAAAGGAUUUCAACAUCAGAGAGUAAUUUUUGUCUAUCACUUUCUAAACAAGUUCAAAAUUAAAACCCGUCCAUUCUUCCUAUUCAUUUACCCAAAUCAAAGAACUACUUUUAAUCUUUUUCCCAUGCAUAAAGCCAUGACGAAAAAGCUUAUAAUUCUUAAUCAUGAGCCUACAUCCAUCACUCCGUAGCUUACAAAUAUACAAAAAUUGUAGCACAAUUUUGAUUUUUUAUAAUUUUUUUGUAUUUUUGAAAAUGAAUAAUAUCAAUAUCGACUCAAAGAGAAAAAUUAAUGAUUUUAAAAAUGACGCUUAAAAAAUUAAACGUGUUCCAAAAACUUUUAAAAAUUUUAAAUUUUUUUUAGACGACGUUGAAAAUACUAAAAAUAAUACAAAUAUAUUAAAAACAUAUAUAUAUUUUUUAUGUUUUUCUAUUUUUGAAUUGUUCAGAAAUUUUAUAAAAAAAAUUGAUCAAAAAUUGGAUAACAACAUCAUGUAAAUUGCAUUAUCACACUUAUUAAUGCACUAUUGUUUGAUUUUGCAAGUUGUGUAAUUAACUAUUUAUCUAUAAUCACGGCAAUAUGUUGGAAGGUUGCAUAAUAUUUUUUAAAAAUAUUUUUUAAUUAAAAAUAUAUUAAAAUAAUAACUUUUUUAUAAUAAUUUUUAAUUUUUAAUAUUAACACAUCAAUAUAAUAAAAAAUUCUUAAAAUAUAUCAAUUUAUUAUAUUUUUAAAUGAAAAAUAAAUUUAAAAAGAAAACUAAUAAACAGAUACCUGGGCCCACCAACAAAAGCUUUGAAGGACCAUAUUGCAAACAAUAGCCCGAAUAAGAAAAAAUUUAAAAAAAAAGAAAAAGAAAAGGGAAUAAUGUUCACACACUAAGUCAAAUUAAAGGUAUUGUCUUUAAUGAAAUUCCAUUAAACAUAUUCAAAUAUUCAAUUCAAUGGGCUGAAUCAUAUAUAGCAGGUUACUUCAUGUCUUACAAAUUUUAAUUUUGUAAUAAAAAGUUUUCUUAACAAGGGCACUUUGAGCGUGUUUGGCAGUGUGGUAGUGGUUGCUUUUCAAAUAAUUUUUCGUGCCGAAAUGCAUGCUAAUGAUAUUUUUUUAUUUUUUAAAAAUUAUUUUUAACAUCAGCACAUCAAAACGAUCUAAAAAGUAUAAACCGUAUUAAAUUUUAACAAAAAAAUGAAUUUUUUGGGAACGCCAAUUGAACCGCGUUCCCAAACACUGCUUUUGAAUAUCUUCGGAGCCACCGGCAAGAGGAAGUGUAAUAUACAAGGAUUAAAACACGCCAAUUCAAUCCAAAGUUUUAGAUGAUAGUUUAAUCCUUUAAUUAUGUAAAGUCGUUAAUAUAGUCAUAAUUAAAUUAUUUUGUGCAUGUUUUUUCUUUUUAACUCGUAUGGCAACUCGUCAAGUUUGGGUUACACAAUGAAAGUAUUCUCCUAUUAUAUAUAAUAAUGAUAUAAGUUUGGGAGGGCUUGCAGAGUUUGCAUAAGUAUACUUGAAUGUUCAUCGAUCCACAUCCUUUUUUUAGAUUUAACGUUGUUAUAUAUAUAUAUUUUAGAUUCGUGGUUUGUGCUUACAUUGUUGAUUUGUAGUCAGAAGUUUCUCGAGAUUGAUUGGGCUAGACCAUCUUCUUUUCUACUUCUCUUCUUUUCAUGUCACUGGGUGUUAAAUUUUAUUGCUACACUACUGUCCUUUUGUAAAUCCUAAAUUAAUUUAAUUUUCAGUUUGGAUCGAUAAUUUGUUUGUUGGUAUAAAGAAGAGAAUUAUUUGUUAAUUACAGUGUAAUUGUCUAGAAAGUAGACCAGGAAAUCUUUUGUUUCACUUCUUUUUUUUUUCUUUUUUCUUUUUUUUGUCUCACACGCCACCUGACUUGGUGCUGAACCUGCUUUGUUGUGUUUUUCAUCCUUUGAAUUUUUCUAUCUCUAGCUGGAUAUGUUUAAUGAAUUUGUAUGGCUUUUGAAAGGGAAUUAAUGGCUUAUACAACCUAAACUCUUUGAAAAGCUUUUUCUAUUAUGGAGGGCGUUGAAUUUAUCUCUUUUUAUUUUUUCUAAGAUUAACUUUUUAGUUCUGUGGUUUGUUUAGAUUUUCCAUGGUAUGCCAUUUUUUUUUUUCUUUUUGAGCACUUCAACUCUUGCCUUUUACAUCUACAUGAUUUUUCAUGCAAUUCACGUAUUGCACGUUAAAAUUCACGCGGAAUCAUCUUGGUGAUUUUUCAUUUUGUUUGAUCAAUUACUUAAAUUAUUCAUUGAAAUCGUCCCCAAUAUUUAUUUAAUAGAGGACUAUUAGAAAACUCAAAUAAGACUAUCAAAGAUUCACAUGUCAAAAACUAAUUGUGAUUAAAAAAAUUAUUAACACUUCAACACACCCAAUCUGAGAUAAACUAUUUCGUAGACUUGAUAUGUUAUAAAAAUUCUAAAAAUUAAAUUUUUUCAUUAAAUAUUAAAAAUACAGCUUAUACUUAAAUUCAUAAUUCUUUAUCCGUGAACAAAUUAAAAUAUUAAAUUCCUUUUUAUUCUUUAUAAUUUCAUCAUAAAAAAAACAUUCAUAUAAACGUUCAAACCAUCAUACACUUUCUUUCCUUUUUUUUUUUUUUCACAUCCAUGAUACAAAAUACAAAUUCAAAACGACUAAACAAAAAUUACAUUAAAAUUACAAUAAUAACCCCACAACAAUCUAAAUUACAGGGAAUGUCCUUCCAUGCGCCACCGCCACGGUGCAUGGAUUCACGCACCAUCGCAAGAAACCCAGGCAAGUAGGAGUGUCAGUCACGGCUUCCUCUCUUCUUCCCCUCCUCGCCGGCGGUGACCUGCAAAAUACCAAAAAAGGCAACAAGCAAACUCUUUUAAUCUUCUUUCAUGGGUUUUCGGAUCUGCCUCUCUCUCUUCUUCUUCAGAUCUGCUUCCCUGCAGAUCGGCUCUUCUAUGGGUUUUUUUUCGUCUUCCCCUCCGCUUCGGGUAGCUGGCAGGAGGAGGAAGGAUGGCUGCUGAUCUGUAGGUGCCACUGUGUUCGGGCCACCGCUAGAGACUGUUGUGUCUGCGGGCGCUGCCGGAGGGAGGAGGCGGGCAGGAGGCGGGCAGGAGGCCGGUUGCAGAAGAUGAAGAAGAGUGUUGCCCCGGCGCUGCCGUGUGUGAGCUGUUGGCUCACUGGUGAGGACGGCGCUGCUGCUGCUAGCGGCGAAAACAGGCCGAGAGAAAUGUAGUGGCCGGCUGCUGUGGGGAGGUGCAGACGCCGGUCCCUGUCUGUGUUGCCAGAGAAGGAAGGUCUGGUGUUGGAAGGGAACAGCUGGGAUGGAGAUGAGGAGGUUGAUUUGUGAGGGUGGGGAAGAUCGGUUGUGGCUGGUUGAAGGAGAAGAGAAAAAAAAAUGAAAAGGGGGGAGGGUGUGGGGCUGGCGGCUGAAUGAGGGAGGAGAAAAAAAAAAGAAAAAAAGGGGGGGGGGUGUGAGGCUGGCGGCUGAAUGAUUGAGAAGAGAAAAAAAAAUAAAAUCAAAAGGGGGAUCUCCGGGGGCUGGCGGCCGGUUGAGGGAGAAGAGAAAAAAAAUCAAAAAGAGGGAGGGGGGUGGGGCUGGCCGGUCGGUUAAGGGGGACGACCGGGGAAGGAGAUGGUCAGGUCUGGUUUAUGUUUGGAUCAAGGGUGGGGUCAGCGGCGGCUCCGUUGAGAGAAGAGGAGUUAAGCUUUUAGGGUCCCCCCCUAAAUUACCCUUCCAUUUUGU